GAGGGACAGAAACAAAAACAGGAAAGAAAAAGAAGAGAAAAAGCAAGUGGGCAUCAUUGUAGGGACUGGGAACAACCUAAGACUUGUUUUGAUAGGAGUGCGUAGAACAGACUUGUAAGAAAAUUCAUUUCGUUAAGUAGUUAUUGGGCACUUGUUAUGACCCAGGCACUUGACUAGGCACUGGGGGCACAGCAGUGAACGAGACAGACACAACCUGUCUGCCUUCCUGUAGCCCAUCUUCAGUAGGGCUUUUGGGAACUGAAACUAAGGGAAAAGAAAGAAAAUGUCAUUUAUUUAAUAUCUAGAAUGUGCCCGAUACGCCGCUAGACACUGUAAUACAUUUAUCACCUUAUUUAUCGUAGGUAUAAAUAAUUUUAAGUCAGUGAGGUAGACAUCAUCCUCAUUUUACCAGUGAGGCAAAUUGAGGCUCAGAGAUUGAUGUCCGUUGCCCAAGGUUACUCCGCUAAUAGGAGGUGGACCUCGGACUGUCUGACUCCAGAAUCUCUGCCCCUUCUACCACCCUGUGCGAUUGCUCUUUAGAAACUGAGAAAGCAUUCUUAC